UGGGGAAUAUUGGUCAAUGGGCGAAAGCCUGAACCAGCAAUGCCGCGUGAGUGAUGAAGGCCUUCGGGUUGUAAAGCUCUGUCGGGAGGGACGAAAAAAUCCGCAAGGAUCUUGACGGUACCUCCAAAGGAAGCACCGGCUAACUCUGUGCCAGCAGCCGCGGUAAUACAGAGGGUGCAAGCGUUGUUCGGAUUUACUGGGCGUAAAGCGCGUGUAGGCGGUGACAUAAGUCGGAUGUGAAAUCCCUCGGCUCAACCGAGGACGUGCACCCGAUACUGUGCCACUUGAGUACCGGAGGGGAUGGCGGAAUUCCUGGUGUAGAGGUGAAAUUCGUAGAUAUCAGGAGGAACACCUGUGGCGAAGGCGGCCAUCUGGACGGUAACUGACGCUGAGACGCAAAAGCGUGGGUAGCAAACAG
rnacentral:rRNA from 1 species